rnacentral:SRP_RNA from 1 species
GGGGAAUUGAUAAUAGGUGGAUGUUGCGCUAAUCCGGUCAGAUUCGAAAGAAAGCAGCCGUAACGNUAAUAUUCCAGGUUAUUAAUCAAUUCCUCGUG